AUACGGAGGAUGCGAGCGUUAUCCGGAUUUAUUGGGUUUAAAGGGUGCGCAGGCGGGCGAUUAAGUCAGCGGUGAAAGGCUCGGGCUCAACCGGAGCAGUGCCGUUGAUACUGGUUGUCUUGAAUGCGGUCAAGGCCGGCGGAAUGUGGCGUGUAGCGGUGAAAUGCAUAGAUAUGCCAAAGAACACCGAUAGCGAAGGCAGCUGGCCGGGCCUGCAUUGACGCUCAGGCACGAAAGCGUGGGGAUCGAACAGGAUUAGAUACCCUGGUAGUCCACGCUGUAAACGAUGGACACUCGUUGUCGGCGACAGACAGUCGGCGGCCAAGCGAAAGUGAUAAGUGUCCCACCUGGGGAGUACGGUCGCAAGGCUGAAACUUAAAGGAAUUGGCGGGG
rnacentral:rRNA from 1 species